CAUACUACUCAGGAAAAAAAGAACC
rnacentral:piRNA from 1 species